rnacentral:tRNA from 1 species
AGCUUUAUAGUCAAUGUGAUGAUAUUAAAUUGCAAAUUUAAAGUUGUAAAUUACUAAAGCUU